rnacentral:rRNA from 1 species
CUUUACACAUGCAAGUCGAGCGGCAGCACGGGGUAACCCUGGUGGCGAGCGGCGAACGGGUGAGUAAUACAUCGGAACAUGCCCAGUCGUGGGGGAUAACACUUCGAAAGAAGUGCUAAUACCGCAUACGUCCUGAGGGAGAAAGCGGGGGAUCGCAAGACCUCGCGCGAUUGGAGUGGCCGAUGUCAGAUUAGCUAGUUGGUGGGGUAAAGGCCUACCAAGGCAACGAUCUGUAGCUGGUCUGAGAGGAUGAUCAGCCACACUGGGACUGAGACACGGCCCAGACUCCUACGGGAGGCAGCAGUGGGGAAUUUUGGACAAUGGGGGCAACCCUGAUCCAGCCAUUCCGCGUGAGUGAAGAAGGCCUUCGGGUUGUAAAGCUCUUUCGGCAGGAACGAAACGGUGAGCUCUAACAUAGCUUGCUAAUGACGGUACCUGAAGAAGAAGCACCGGCUAACUACGUGCCAGCAGCCGCGGUAAUACGUAGGGUGCGAGCGUUAAUCGGAAUUACUGGGCGUAAAGCGUGCGCAGGCGGUUGUGUAAGACAGGUGUGAAAUCCCCGGGCUUAACCUGGGAACUGCGCUUGUGACUGCACAGCUAGAGUAUGGCAGAGGGGGGUGGAAUUCCACGUGUAGCAGUGAAAUGCGUAGAGAUGUGGAGGAACACCGAUGGCGAAGGCAGCCCCCUGGGCCAAUACUGACGCUCAUGCACGAA